rnacentral:rRNA from 1 species
CAGUGGGGAAUAUUGCACAAUGGGCGCAAGCCUGAUGCAGCCAUGCCGCGUGUGUGAAGAAGGCCUUCGGGUUGUAAAGCACUUUCAGUUGUGAGGAAGGUGGUGUCGUUAAUAGCGGCAUCAUUUGACGUUAGCAACAGAAGAAGCACCGGCUAACUCCGUGCCAGCAGCCGCGGUAAUACGGAGGGUGCGAGCGUUAAUCGGAAUUACUGGGCGUAAAGCGCAUGCAGGUGGUUUGUUAAGUCAGAUGUGAAAGCCCGGGGCUCAACCUCGGAACUGCAUUUGAAACUGGCAGACUAGAGUACUGUAGAGGGGGUAGAAUUUCAGGUGUAGCGGUGAAAUGCGUAGAGAUCUGAAGGAAUACCGGUGGCGAAGGCGGCCCCCUGGACAGAUACUGACACUCAGAUGCGAAAGCGUGGGGAGCAAACAGGAUUAGAUACCCUGGUAG